rnacentral:rRNA from 1 species
UACGUAGGGCGCGAGCGUUGUCCGGAAUUAUUGGGCGUAAAGAGCUCGUAGGCGGUGUGUCACGUCGAUCGUGAAAACUUACAGCUUAACUGUGAGCGUGCGGUCGAUACGGGCAUCACUUGAGUUCGGUAGGGGAGACUGGAAUUCCUGGUGUAGCGGUGAAAUGCGCAGAUAUCAGGAGGAACACCGGUGGCGAAGGCGGCUCACUGGACCGGUUCUGACGCUGAGGCGCGAAAGCGUGGGGGGCAAACGGG